UUAUUUUUUGAUCCACUAAGCCUAGGUUGGUGACCUCCAUUGCACUCAGUAGGGGUGCCUGUCUAAGGUCGGCCCAAGUGGUUGAGCUUAAGUCAUAAUUUGUGGUAGUGAAGCCUAUGUUCAUGUGGCCG
rnacentral:snRNA from 10 species